ACUUUUUUAGUAUAUUAGUAUAUUUAACUUCCAAUUAAAAGGUUUAUUUUUAAAAAAGUA
rnacentral:tRNA from 1 species